ensembl:lncRNA
GCAGGAUCCUUUUCAUGCUUGACCAUGUGUUGACUGUGUCUUUAAUUAGGAGAGGGUGGAUUUAACCGAUAAUGGCCAGAGUGGGAAAAGACAUUGGUGUCAUUAGGAUAAUCAGAACCCUAAAUGAGGUUUUGAUGCAGUGUGUCCGACAGGUGUAGUGGCAAGAUAGGGGACGGAAAGGUUCCUCCAGCACGCUCCAGCUGUGUUUACACUCUUUGUGUGGAACAAAGGGUCCUUGUCAUAUUCACCAUGAUUGAUGCGGCUGCAGAAGAAUAGUUAGAGCGUAUUUACAUGAAACACUGGUGGGAGGACCAACACUGACAUGUCUGGUUUUUUUUUUCUGCUUUUUUUUUUUGUGUGCUGCCAUUAUUUGUCCUGCACACUCCACAGCAGAACGCUUAGCCAAGCAGGCACGCUGCAGCACAAAAGACCAUCUCUAACUGUUUCCCUGUGUGGUGAAAUCAGUUUACAUUUCUGGGAAUGAUUCACCACAUUCGGCCGGCCCUCCGGACACUGUAUCCCAACAUAUCCCUCUCUAUCACCGCGUCAUCUUCGAGCAAACUCUCAGCUCUGCCUCGGGGAAAUCACACUGCUCAAAACAUCUCAGCAAGACAUCUCUCCCUCAUAUUUGUGUCAGCCUUGUAACAUUUUUGAAUUGCUAAUGACAAAUUAUGUUCUGAAGAGAAAUCAUAUCAGCGUACUUGACAAACGAAGAGCAUUAUGAUUUAAAAAAAAAAAAAAAAAGCCAAUAAUUGUGCUCUUGACUGAUCAUUCCGGAGAUCUCAUCGGCAGCUCCUUUUAAAGCAUAAAGCAGCUCUGUUCCAUUCUGAGGGCUUUGGAUGAGCCCAGUGAGUUUGGGCUGAUUUGAAGAACAAUGAAGUGGAUGUGCUGUUCUAUAGACUGAAUAAUGAGGUUGUGUGCUUCAGAGAACAGCCCUACCCCCCUCCCCUCGCUCUCACAAAGACACCAUCCCCCAUCCUCCUCCCUUCUUUGAUGGAGCUGAUAUAUGCAUAAGCAACACUUUCAUGGGGUGCCAAGUAUUGCUGGGUUAGAAGCUCGGUGACCUAUCUAUGGC